CGGGGUGAGUAAUGCUUGGGAAUCUAGCUUAUGGAGGGGGAUAACUACGGGAAACUGUAGCUAAUACCGCGUAGAAUCGAGGGAUGAAAGUGUGGGACCUUCGGGCCACAUGCCAUAGGAUGAGCCCAAGUGGGAUUAGGUAGUUGGUGAGGUAAAGGCUCACCAAGCCGACGAUCUCUAGCUGGUCUGAGAGGAUGACCAGCCACACUGGGACUGAGACACGGCCCAG
rnacentral:rRNA from 1 species